CUGCGCGCUUCCGGCACCCACAGUCGGGUUCCAGGUUCCACCGUGGCGCUCCAGAGCGCCGCGCUUCUCGGGCGCACCUCUUCUCUGCCCUCUGUCACCUCAUACCCGUCAGUCCGCUCAGGACUGAUGAACCAAGUACUUUCUGAUGGAGACCGAGUUGGUCGAUGAGGCAGAGCUCAGGGGUUACCUAGUUGGGGCCAGGGUAAGGGAACAAAUGGAAAGAGCGGUUCGUAAAUCUUUAAACAGCUCUUAGAGGUUAUUUGCAAGAAUAAUUCCUAAGCAUCGGAAAUGCUGGGACAUUCUUGUGUGGGAGAAGUGUGCACACAACAAACAUAUCUUUCAGAAAGUCGAAAUGAGAUAGAUGAGAGAGGGUAGUAAAUAUAAAGUAGCAAUGGCAGGUUGCAAUGAAGAUACCGGGGCUUAGUUAAGCAAAGCAGUCGUGUUAAGGAAGACUAUUACGGCAUUAUUACUCUUCGACAAGGUGCAUAGCUUUUCCCAUUGAUAAUGGGAAAUGGUUAUGUCUCUGUGUUAGUGCGCAAGCAUUAUGCUCAAGGAGGAGAAAAGUUUAGCAUAAAAAGCCCAUGGAGUUUUAGACUUCAACCGAAUUCUUCCCCAAGUGCAUCAUCUUAGAAUAUAAAACACAGUCCUGGAUGACUGUAACCCCCAAAUUCAAGAAAAGGCAAAUUCAGAAAAUAGGUAAAUUCAAAAAAGUUUGUAGUCUCAUGCUAUUAAAUUUUUUCUGUGUGCUCAUAUAUUGCUCCCUUCCCCAAAGUUUACAACUAACCAGAUUUUCAAUGGCUCUAGCACCUACAGAAAGAACUACUGACAUACCUAAAAAGAGCUUUAACAUCAAAGGUAAUUUGUACUGGCUGAGCGUCCUGGCUUUGGAACAUUGUGAUCUAGCGAUGUGCCUCUGGGCAUGGGUUCAUCACUGGAGAAAUGAAAGUUAGAAGAGAAGACAAGGGUGCUCACCCUCUCAAAGAGUGGUAAAGAUUAAGUUAAAAAAUACUAUAUCACAAAAAAAUAGGUGAUAUAGUAGUUGUCCCAGGCGGUCCUGACCACUUUUAUAACAAAAGGAGGCGUGUCCAUCAGCGCACACCAUCUCAAAUACAUGCACAUACUGAACUUUGGGCUAAGUCAAGACAACGCCCUUUGUCGAAAAAGGAAGCAGCUGUCUCCAAAUAUAAAGAGGGCUGCAGGGGCCUGGUCUCUGCAUCUUCCAACUCUACAGCAGGGCCUGGAGAGACGAAGGCGAAGCAAACUAGAAGUGCUCGCUCGGCCCUGGUCGCCGGAGGACACAGGUUCUAGACCUGAAUUUAGGGUCGCAGACUUGCGGUGCUAACGCCUGAGGGUUCCCAGGGUUUCCCGCUCGCUUUCACAGACCACCACAAGCUUAAGACCGAGAAUCACUUCCCAGGAUGGCCUGGGAUACUCAGUGAUGAACCCACGGUGACCUGGUGCUUCCUGCCCCGAGACCUGACAGCCUCAACACUCUGGGUAAAGUAAAUUAAAAACCCGGACAACUGGAGUCUUUGAGAAUGAAAACGACAUCGGGAUUCCAGACAGCUGACUCGCUCAGAGCUCCAACUGGGUGUACGCACGGCGAGUAAAGCCAACUCCUACAACGACACGUCACCGUGCUGGGCCGCUUCUUGGCUGGUGGGCGGGGCGACCCCUACUUCCGGAUCCGGCCUCUUCUGGGUAACGCCUCACCUGCGGUUCCCUAGGUUACCUGAUGGCGGGAGGGGGCGGGGUGGGCGGGGGCGGGGCGAAGCUUUCCAACUCUGGGUAGCCAGCUCCUGGUUAGUGAGGCUCUUCCCGACUAGAUUAAAGGGAAAAACGCAACUUUUUUCAGACUACUGAUAACUCUGACUGGAGCAAAACCUGAGGAAUAUGUUUUUUUUCUAUGUUCCACACGGCAUUUGACAAUUCGGAGAAGCUGAGGAAAGAGAGGGCUUUUUUGUUUGUUUUUUUUUCCAACAGGGUAGAGAAACCUGGCUGUCCUGGAACUCACGCUGUAGACCAGGAUGGCCUCGAACUCAGUAAUCCACCUGCCUCUGCCUCCCAAGUGCUGGGAUAAAGGCGUGCGCCACCACUGCCCAGCGAAAAGGGCUUCUUUGGUUUGGUUUGAUUUUUGUUUUGUUUUUUUUGUUAACCAUGGAUAUGGAUGACGAAAACGGUCAGAUGAGCAAUGAACAAUUCAAUAUACGCUGACCUUUAUACUCAAAAUGGUUAAGAUGAUAAAUUUUAUUAUGU
ensembl:processed_transcript A330035P11Rik RIKEN cDNA A330035P11 gene